AUUGAACGCUGGCGGAAUGCUUUACACAUGCAAGUCGAACGGCAGCACGGGAGCUUGCUCCUGGUGGCGAGUGGCGAACGGGUGAGUAAUGCGUCGGAACGUACCGAGUAAUGGGGGAUAACGCAGCGAAAGCUGUGCUAAUACCGCAUACGCCCUGAGGGGGAAAGUGGGGGGAUCGCAAGACCUCACGUUAUUCGAGCGGCCGACGUCUGAUUAGCUAGUUGGUGGGGUAAAGGCCUACCAAGGCGACGAUCAGUAGCGGGUCUGAGAGGAUGAUCCGCCACACUGGAACUGAGACACGGUCCAGACUCCUACGGAGGCAGCAGUGGGGAAUUUUGGACAAUGGGCGGAAGCCUGAUCCAGCCAUGCCGCGUGAGUGAAGAAGGCC
rnacentral:rRNA from 1 species